rnacentral:rRNA from 1 species
AAUCAACGCUGGCGGCGUGCCUCAGACAUGCAAGUCGUACGCGAAAGCUCCCUUCGGGGAGCAAGUAGAGUGGCGCACGGGUGAGUAACACGUAGGUAAUCUACCUUUGGAUGGGGAAUAACAACCGGAAACGGUUGCUAAUACCGCAUAAUGCAGCGGCACCUAAUGGUGACAGUUGUUAAAGCGGGGGAUCGCAAGACCUCGCGUCUGAAGAGGAGCCUGCGGCGGAUUAGCUAGUUGGUAAGGUAACGGCUUACCAAGGCGAUGAUCCGUAGCCGGCCUGAGAGGGCGGUCGGCCACACUGACACUGACAUACGGGUCAGACUCCUACGGGAGGCAGCAGUCGGGAAUUUUGGGCAAUGGGCGAAAGCCUGACCCAGCAACGCCGCGUGAAGGAUGAAAUCCCUCGGGAUGUAAACUUCGCAAGAACGGGAAGAAUAAGUAAGAGCUAACAUCUCUUACGAUGACGGUACUGUUUGUAAGCUCCGGCUAACUCCGUGCCAGC